rnacentral:rRNA from 1 species
GUUACUGCUAUCGGAGUUCGAUUAAGCCAUGCGAGUCUAAAGGUUUCUUCGGAAACCUUGGCGGACUGCUCAGUAACACGUGGAUAACCUACCCUUGGGACUGGAAUAACCCCGGGAAACUGGGGAUAAUACCGGAUAGAUCAGGGAUGCUGGAAUGCGCCUUGAUCCAAAGCUCCGGCGCCCAAGGAUGGGUCUGCGGCCUAUCAGGUUGUAGUGGGUGUAACGUACCUACUAGCCGACGACGGGUACGGGUUGUGAGAGCAAGAGCCCGGAGAUGGAUUCUGAGACACGAAUCCAGGCCCUACGGGGUGCAGCAGGCGCGAAAACUUUACAAUGUGCGAAAGCAUGAUAAGGGAACUCCGAGUGCCAGUAUCUAAUACUGGCUGUCCUUGUGCCUAAAACGCACAAGAUAGCAAGGGCCGGGUAAGACCGGUGCCAGCCGCCGCGGUAACACCGGCGGCCCGAGUGGUAGCCGCUAUUAUUGGGUCUAAAGGGUCCGUAGCCGGUUCGAUAAGUCUUCUGGGAAAUCUGGUUGCUUAACAAUCAGACUGCCAAGGGAUACUGUCGAACUUGAGACCGGGAGAGGUAAGAGGUACUUCAGGGGUAGGAGUGAAAUCUUGUAAUCCCUGGGGGACCAUCUGUGGCGAAGGCGUCUUACCAGAACGGGUCUGACGGUGAGGGACGAAAGCUGGGGGCGCAAACCGGAUUAGAUACCCGGGUAGUCCCAGCCGUAAACGAUGCUCGCUAUGUGUCAGGUACGGUGUGACCGUAUCUGGUGCCGUAGGGAAGCCGUGAAGCGAGCCACCUGGGAAGUACGGUCGCAAGACUGAAACUUAAAGGAAUUGGCGGGGGAGCACUACAACGGGUGGAGCCUGCGGUUUAAUUGGAUUCAACGCCGGA